UACGUAGGGGGCAAGCGUUGUCCGGAUUUAUUGGGCGUAAAGAGCUCGUAGGUGGUUUGGUUAGUCGGAUGUGAAAUCUCCAGGCUCAACCUGGAGGGGUCAUUCGAUACUGCCAUGACUAGAGGUCGGUAGGGGAGUGUGGAAUUCCUGGUGGAGCGGUGAAGUGCGCAGAUAUCAGGAGGAACACCCGUAGCGAAGGCGGCACUCUGGGCCGAUACUGACACUGAGGAGCGAAAGCGUGGGGAGCGAACAGG
rnacentral:rRNA from 1 species